rnacentral:rRNA from 1 species
AUUGAACGCUGGCGGCAUGCUUUACACAUGCAAGUCGAACGGUAACAGGCCUUCGGGUGCUGACGAGUGGCGAACGGGGGAGUAAUGCAUCGGAACGUACCCAGAGGUGGGGGAUAACGCAGCGAAAGCUGUGCUAAUACCGCAUGUGAUCUGAGGAUGAAAGCGGGGGACCGAGCAGCAAUGUUUGGCCUCGCGCCUUUGGAGCGGCCGAUGUCGGAUUAGCUAGUUGGUGGGGUAAAGGCCUACCAAGGCGACGAUCCGUAGCUGGUCUGAGAGGACGACCAGCCACACUGGGACUGAGACACGGUCCAGACUCCUACGGGAGGCAGCAGUGGGGAAUUUUGGACAAAGGGCGCAAGCCUGAUCCAGCAAUGCCGCGUGCGGGAAGAAGGCCUUCGGGUUGUAAACCGCUUUUGUCAGGAACGAAACGGUGUCCGCUAAUACCGGGCGCUAAUGACGGUACCUGCAGAAUAAGCACCGGCUAACUACGUG